rnacentral:rRNA from 1 species
AGGGCACCACCAGGAGUGGAGCCUGCGGCUUAAUUUGACUCAACACGGGAAAACUCACCCGGCCCGGACACUGUAAGGAUUGACAGACUGAGAGCUCUUUCUUAAUUCAGUGGGUGGUGGUGCAUGGCCGUUCUUAGUUGGUGGAGCGAUUUGUCUGGUUAAUUCCGAUAACGAACGAGACUCUGGCCUAUUAAAUAGACGAGGUAUUUACAUGUAUCUCGCGCUUCUUAGAGGGACAAGCGGCGUCUAGUCGCAUGAAAAAGAGCUUUUUUUUGUCUGUGAUGCCCUUAGAUGUCUGGGGCUGCACGCGCGCUACACUGAAAGAAUCAGCGUGCAUUUAAACCUAGUCCGGAAGGACCGGGUAACCCAAGUAAAUUCUUUCGUGCUUGGGAUAGGGAAUUGCAAUUAUUUCCCUUAAACGAGGAAUUCCCAGUAAAUGCGGGUCAUAAGCUCGCGUUGAUUUACGUCCCUGCCCUUUGUACACACCGCCCGUCGCUACUACCGAUUGAAUGGCUUAAU